UUUUAUUUUAUAAGGGCUUUAACCACAAUCUGUCUCAGGAAAUACUCUGUAUCUCUCUAUAUUAAUCGUUUCAUUCUUGUUCGUAAGGAACUGUCAAUAUACCCUUAUAGUUUCUCAUUAUAACAUUCUUUUUUUCCGAGCCAAAAGACAAGAGAAAAAAAAAAUAUAACUCUUUUUUACAUUUAAGAGAAGAUGUUUGCACUGAGCUUCGAGGUAGCGUGUAAUGGCGAAUCAACGAUCCUGCACCAAGCAAUAGGGGGGCAAUCUAUUGGUCAUCUCAUUUCAGCGCUCAAAACCUUGAAAGAUUCUUCAAAUGAAACGCUCACAAAUUUGGUGCAAAAUGAAACCACCAAAAAUACGAGGAAAGUUGAAACCAAAACUGAUUCGGAUGAUACCUCCGACGAGAUUGAAAUUCAGGAUGAACCGCUUAAGAAACUGAGAACAUAAAACAAAACUCGGUUUUAUAACAUAAGACUUUUAGAAGUGAUUGAUUCUCACGAAAACAUACUUCGAAUAUAACAUUGUGGUAUUGCACA